AGAGGGUAAGGAUGAUGAUUCAAUUAGAUGUGUGAAAGGUUUAUUCCUUUUUGAACUCAAAUUUUUUGAGGCAUAUCCAUUCAUAUACCUGACUACACUCUUUUAUUGUUUUCUUUAUGUCUUCUAUUUAUAAUGCUAAAUUGAAUUCUCUUAAGGUUGAAUCUUUAUUUAUAUUUUUAACUGAUAAUCUAUGAGAAAACUGAGGGCAAGGAUGAUGAUUCAAUUAGAUGUGUGAAAGGAAUUUUUCCUUUUUGAACUCUCAAUUUUGAGGCAUAUCCAUUCAUAUACCUGACUUGCUGUUU